AUGCUUCCGUGUGCCAGCAGCCGCGGUAAUACGGAAGGUCCGGGCGUUAUCCGGAUUUAUUGGGUUUAAAGGGAGCGUAGGCCGGAGAUUAAGCGUGUUGUGAAAUGUAGACGCUCAACGUCUGCACUGCAGCGCGAACUGGUUUCCUUGAGUACGCACAAAGUGGGCGGAAUUCGUGGUGUAGCGGUGAAAUGCUUAGAUAUCACGAAGAACUCCGAUUGCGAAGGCAGCUCACUGGAGCGCAACUGACGCUGAAGCUCGAAAGUGCGGGUAUCGAACAGG
rnacentral:rRNA from 1 species